UACGUAGGGGGCUAGCGUUGCUCGGAAUCACUGGGCGUAAAGCGCACGUAGGCGGAUUGUUAAGUCAGGGGUGAAAUCCUGGAGCUCAACUCCAGAACUGCCUUUGAUACUGGCGAUCUCGAGUUCGGGAGAGGUGAGUGGAACUGCGAGUGUAGAGGUGAAAUUCGUAGAUAUUCGCAAGAACACCAGUGGCGAAGGCGGCUCACUGGCCCGAUACUGACGCUGAGGUGCGAAAGCGUGGGGAGCAAACAGG
rnacentral:rRNA from 1 species